AAGGAAGAUUUAGAUUUUCUCGAGACACUCGAGGAAGAUUUUACUAAUCUUGGCAAAGAAACUUCCACCGACGAUGUUUGCUAGAGUUUGUUAGCUGCUAUCUAUAACAUGGACGUUGAAGUUAGG